GUUGUAUGGUUAAGUGACUAAGCGUACACGGUGGAUGCCUUGGCAGUCAGAGGCGAUGAAAGACGUAGUAACUUGCGAUAAGCCCAGAUUAGGUAGUAACAACCAUUUGAGUCUGGGAUUUCUGAAUGGGGAAACCCACGUGCAUAAGCACGUAUCCUUACCUGAAUACAUAGGGUAAGGAGGCGAACCGGGGGAACUGAAACAUCUAAGUACCCCGAGGAAAAGAAAUCAACCGAGAUUCCGAAAGUAGCGGCGAGCGAAAUUGGACUAGCCCUUAAGCC
rnacentral:rRNA from 1 species